GGGCGGCUAGCUCAGUUGGUUAGAGCGUUGCUUUCACACGGCAAAGGUCACAAGUUCGAAUCUUGUGCCGCCCA
rnacentral:tRNA from 1 species